CCUGAGCCGGGUCCUUCAGAGCCAGCCUGCCAUCCUGAUCCAGAGAAGGAUCUGUACUGGAUCCUGCUGCUCACUCUGUGUCCUGGCUGUGCUGUCCUCUCCUCCAUCCUCUCCUCCAUCCUGGUCUACCACUACUGCUGCAGGACGACCGCUUCAAAGGAACCUCAAGGAGAUCGCAGGACUGACACCAGGAGGAGAGAGAGCAGAGUGCAGCAGGAAGGAGACCAGUGUUACGCUGCGCUGGAUUUCCCCCGGGGACAGAGGAGACCACAGAAGAAGAGGACUCAGAGCUCUGACUUCAGUACCUACUCAGCCAUCAAGACUAGUUUGGUGUGAGGAGAGGACGCUGUACGUGCAGCACCACACAUGGCCACAAGGGGGAGUGGGAGGAAACAUAAAACGAUUUGUUGAAAUGUUUGAUUUGAAAUGUUUACAAAAAAACUAGUUGGCUUAUUGAGAUAUACAUUGCUUUUUUUGAUCCAAAUGACUGAGUCAAUAAGAAUUCGUACAAUUACUUUUUAUAGUGUGUAUAAAUAUAAGUGUAAGAAUACAGUGUUAUGAUCAGCUACACCUGUUACAAUAAAUGACAC